AGGAGAUCGUUUUGUUACAAUCCAGGACUUGAACUGAUGGCUUCACACACAUCGGUCCAUCUUCGACAUCCUAAACAUGGCCAUCGGAGAGAAAACUAAUGAACACCUUACAGUAUUCCAGAAGACUGUAUACAAGCGUAGCAGAGGCCAAAAGAUUCAAAACAGAAACCAAACCAUGGGACAAGGAAAAUAUGGGAGAUACACAGCAGGCUGGACG